rnacentral:sRNA from 1 species
UCCUAGCCCCGAUUGCAGCGGCAUCCUUUUUUGUCUUAACUGGAAAAGUUGUUUUGAUAACAAAAUUUCUGAGACAAAAAAGAUAUAGCGGAAAGCGGGAAAUAGC